AGAGUUUGAUCCUGGCUCAGAUUGAACGCUGGCGGCAUGCCUUACACAUGCAAGUCGAACGGUAACAGGUCUUCGGAUGCUGACGAGUGGCGAACGGGUGAGUAAUACAUCGGAACGUGCCCGAGAGUGGGGGAUAACGGAGCGAAAGCUUUGCUAAUACCGCAUACGAUCUACGGAUGAAAGCAGGGGACCGCAAGGCCUUGCGCUCAUGGAGCGGCCGAUGGCAGAUUAGGUAGUUGGUGGGAUAAAAGCUUACCAAGCCGACGAUCUGUAGCUGGUCUGAGAGGACGACCAGCCACACUGGGACUGAGACACGGCCCAGACUCCUACGGGAGGCAGCAGUGGGGAAUUUUGGACAAUGGGCGCAAGCCUGAUCCAGCCAUGCCGCGUGCAGGAUGAAGGCCUUCGGGUUAUUAACUGCUUUUGUACGGAACGAAAAGACUCUGGAUAAUACCUGGGGU
rnacentral:rRNA from 1 species